rnacentral:tRNA from 1 species
GUGGGUAGAGCUCAGUGGUAGAGUGCAUGCUUAGCAUGCAUGAGGUCCUGGGUUCAAUCCCCAGCACCUCUU